UUGCUAAAGGCUUGCUUUCCUACAAAUUAUGUACAUCAUUGCAGUGUUAAGUUCUCAAUGCAAGAUGAUUGUGCAUUUUUAAAAUAUCAAUUGGAAAAAAAAAAAAUUUCCCACAUAUGACUGAAUUCAUUAAAAAUACGUAUUUAGGAUACUACCUUUUGCUAUCAGAAUUUGUCAAAACAACCUGGCAGAAUUCAGCAAUGUAUUUCUAUUGAAAGUCAACAGCUAUGAAUCUCUCAUUCACUUGCAAAACAAAACCUUAAUUUGUUAUGGCCAAUAAUGAAGAUAUCACAGUGGAUCUUACAUUACUGCAAUUCUCUGCCAGUUUAUCUCUUGUUGAAUCUUUUGUGGCUAUCUCCUCUUUCUCAUAACUCUUUUAUUCAAAAAAUAAUUAUUGUUGUUUAAAAUUCCUAAUGCAUACUGGGCAUUAUUAUCCAAACUUAGGUCUUGCAACUAAAGUUAACUAACUCUGAGUUGGAGCUCACUUUCCUGUUUCUUUUCGGAGUGACACUUUAAAUGGAAAGCAUUUAUAGCCAACCUCUAAUCAACUGUACAAGGGUAUUGGGGUGAUUGCCUUUUUUUGGAUAUUUACUUUAAGCAGAAUAUUCCUCUUCAGGUGGAUUGGAGAUUCCGUGUAGUUUGGCUUUCUUGACUUUUCAAACCUUGAAAUUCAUGCAGCCAGAUAUUGGAUCUGUGUUAGAAUCUAGCAUGGUAUGUGACCAAAACACAACAAGUAAAAAAAGGAAAUAGAUAACGUAUGUAGUCUGUAGUAUCCCGUAUUUGUCACCAAUCACUAACCUUGAUUGAUAAUGCACUUUGUUACUUUGGUUUUCAUCUGAAAAUAAAUUGAGAUGUUUUACAAAUAAAUGAAGUAAUUAUUUCAUUUGGUGUUCCUUCUCAAAUUUUUGGUGUUUUUUGUUUUUGUUUUUUUCUUUAUAAGUAAACAUUUUAAUAGACAACUGUAGCAUUCAAUCUUUUCCUGAUUGCCCUUUAAGUAAAAGCCAUGUGUAGAAAUGAAAUGUUGCUGUGGAUAACUUAAUUGACUCUUUCUAUUGCUUGCUUCCUCACUACCUUUGAAGGUAUAUUUUUAAUUAUUUAUCAGAUAAAGUUUCUGGUCAAAAUGUGUUCUUUUGCACUCAUGGUCCCAUUUUCUUACCACCAAUGAUGAGGACCUUCUUUAGCUUUGCCUGUUAUCAACUGUUUAGAACUGAAAAAUGCACAGUAAAAAUUAAAUGCAAGGCAGACACCUUAUCACCUACAGAAGUACACUGUGUUGCCCAUUCUUAUAAAUCUUGUCAGCUUCUUGGAUGUUUCUGCCCAACUUUCUAUUUCCUAAUGUAUCAUUAGUGAGGAGAACACUAAAAAGUGUAUCCCAGCCUUGUGGCCAUGCAAGACAUUAUCAUAAAAUGGCAAAGUCCUUUUUGUUUUCUUUUGAGUCAUCUUUUCACAAUUAAUGAACUGUGAAAAAAAAUUGCUCAGUAAACAGACACAACCUAUGCAGUAGCGUUUAUGAUUAGAUCUUUACUGAAGGGCCAGUUUACGUGCCACCUGGAUUGCAGAAAUCAAUUCCUCCUAAUGUGUGGGUUUUUUUGUUUUUUUUUUUUUUUGUUUUUUCAAACUAUAAAGAUAAAAUGUCUGCUAUGCCAACGGGAGGAAAAGCUCUGACUGCAAGCAAAAUUAUGUAGGCUUUACUCUGAGGGGAAAAAAUCUUAUUAACAUUUAUAUUUAUAUCUUCAAUUUUCAGACAAUAGUUUUAGCUUUAUUUGGGGGCUGAAGUACCUUUCUGAUUUAAUAACAAGUGUACACCAGAAACUGUUUUCUUUUCCAGAAACAGAACUUUGCCACGUGUUUCUUGAAAUAACUGAUAUAUAGUUUUAUUCAUAAAAAUUAAUCUAUAAUUCAAUUUCUUUUACAAUCAGUUGACUCAAGAUAACUGACAACUGAAUGAACUGUGAUAAAGCUUUACUUUGUAAUGUACCUAACACAAUUAUCAUUUGGUAUAUUUCAUUAUAGGGAACAAUCUGUUUAUGUCAUUUGUUUUUAUGCCAAAUGUUUCCUCUUUUGUUCCUUGACACUUGUAUACUCUUGAUUUUCAAUUGUGGUACUCUGGGCUUCAGGGGAAAGGAGAAACUUCUCUAAUUUAUUGGAUACUUCCCUAGAUGUUUAAAGGUGUGCCUCUUAAAAGUCUUUUCAGGAGGAGACUGCUCAGCUUCUCUGUGUAACCAGUGCCAGUGCUUCAUCACCUUUACGACACAGAAGUGCAUCCUGAAGUUCAGAGGGAACCUUCUGUGUUCUGGCUUGUGCCCAUUGCCUCUGGUCCUGGCACUGGACAUCACUGGAAAUAGCAUGACCUUGUGUUCUUUUCACCCUCCUUUCAAGAAAAAAUUGCACCCACUGACAUUCACUAAUGCUUACUGAACAUUUAUGGAGAUUAACCAGUGGAUAAGAUCACAGUGAGGUAAGGGGUGGUGUUUUCCAGCAGUGGCAAUUGUGGUGUGAAAGACAAGCUAUGUUUCAGACAGCCAUGAAAACGUGUGUGAGUGCAGCAUGCAGGCUCUUGUUGAUUGCAGGUGAAAAGGCAUAGUAAUGCUGAUUA